AAAACUCUUUAACUGUCAUUGGAGGAGAUUUUUAAGGUCAUUCGUCGCUCAAAUCUUAGCCAUUUAUAGCAUUCAAAGCUAAGUAGCAAAAAAACACUUUGGGUUUCUAUUACUUAGGAGAAAAGAGCACAUUGCGUUCUUUAAAAAGAAGGCAAGAUAGUGUUCGACCAUCACGCCGUUGUCACAUUUAAAUAAUUACACACCAAUUUCCCAAGGAAAUUUGCCCAUUAAUUUAAAAAAAAAAAAUACGCGCCACAAAAAUUGAUUCUACGGACACUUUUCGACCAACACAGAACAAUUUUUGGGGUUUUGAAUUUAACCUCAGACAGAAAUUUAGACAAAGCACAAAAAUGCAAAUUUGAUUGCCACUACUUUCACCCGCCUAACCUCGAUUAACACUACUCAAUUUACAUAUUUCCUUCCCAUUUAUCUCUAUCGCAUGGGACAAUGAUAGUAUCACGUGGACUUAAGCACCAAUAAAUGUUAAACCACCGCAUUCAAAGUUAAUGUACUGAUUAAAAAGACAGGAAACAUCCUUAUGAUUAGCUGCAGUAAAAAAACUGACCCAGCUACAGAAACUGAAAUUAAAACAUCGACUUAUUCCCCUAUUUCUAGUCUAAUUGGCACAAAAACGAAGUCGAGAAGAAGAUUUUGUUUUCCUAUGACGUGUAGGGCCCCAUUAAUCUCAUUGUGAAUUUUAUUUUUGAAGACACAGUGCCAUUGCUUUAAAUACCUUCAAUUCUCAUCAUAUUUUUUAAUCACUAGUUCACAACAAACUUUACAGCGCUAUUCAGAAAUUAUUUUUUACGAUUUGGACGCAACUUAUUUGGAGCUGCCGAAAAAAACAUUUAUCAGCAAUUAUUUCUAAACUAUCAAGAGGCUGCCACGAUAUGACUCUCGAAUCUUAUCGAAAGACAGACAUCAUUAAUUUGAUUAUUUAGCUUUACGAAUAUAGCUUGACUAUUACGUCAAUCCCACUCCUUUUUUUGUCGUUAUUGACCCAACAACAAACAAUCAGGAGAACAAGCUUACGGCUAAAUUUAUAUUUAUCAUAUUUGAAGAAAAUUUAUCAGGCUUGAAACGCUUUUUAAAGUACAUAAAUGCAUUAAAACAUUGCCAAAAUCCUCCUUUGUCACAGUAGAUUAAAGGGACAUUAGAAACAACCGUACCAACGUUUGGAGCUAGCAAACCAUAAGACUCAACAAUAAAAACCUUAUCAGAUAAAAAAAAAUCACAACAAAACAGCCUCAGUUGAUGCUAUAAUUUAUGACAUUUCUGAAUUGCUCAUUCGAAUUGGUUAAUAUUAGCAGCGGAAAAUGGAGAUAAUAAUUCCGAAAUUGCUUUCCUUUUCACAAAUCUAUAAACAUGCCUAUGUCUUUCUAUCUUUAUUUUACAACCUUUGUCCAGUUACUAGCUACAGGCCAGGGUACUCCGAAGAGCUUCCCAAAUUCCACAAGGAAAAGGACAACGACAGUGUGACUCUUUUCAUUGUCUGUGUGAUCUCAUUUCUACUUCUCGCCAUAGCUGGUCUGAUAAUCAAAUUCUGCUGGCAACAACGACAGGCUAAAAAACGCUCCAUGUACUUCCGGGAUUGUCAAUCAGAAUACAGCGGCCUAGUAAAUAACGAUUACUGACUCAAACAUGAGCAUGCAUGCAAAACCAAUGAAAAAACUAAUUCGCGGUAAAAGUAUGGUAUUUGGGUCCCUGAAAAAAGCAAGAACAAAAGUAUUUCUGUUUUGAUAAAUGCCGAAAAACGCAAUUACACAAAUUUGAAAGCAAUUUUUCAAUAACUUUGAAGCCUGAUUUAUUUUCUUCAGGGAUCCUUUCACAAUUUAGGGCCUAAGCAACCAUACUUGUAUCAAACUCGCGAAUAAUGAGCUCUCGAAAUCUGCUUUGUUCGGCGCUUUCUGAAAAUACAAAAAGCAAAUUGUUGGAGCUGUUUAUAUUUGGUAGGAUGGGGGUGGGGGUUUAUUGGGAAAGAACACCAUGCUCUGGAUCAACCUUUUGUUCUAUUAAUUCAUUAGUUUGCAGUAGCUUGAAUAGUACUUAAGACGCACGUAAUGCAUGGUUACAUCAGAACAAAUUUUGAAAAACAAUGUGCAUAGAUAGUAAUCAAUUUUCUGUAGCAACAAUGACCAAACAGUUGAAGUAUAUUCAAACAAGUCUCAAAUAAACUAUUUUCAAAAUUUUUGUGCUAAGCUAUACUGCAUGAAUGAUUUCAAAUGCAGAUAUCUUGAAC